rnacentral:rRNA from 1 species
AACGAACGCUGGCGGCAGGCUUAACACAUGCAAGUCGAGCGCCCCGCAAGGGGAGCGGCAGACGGGUGAGUAACGCGUGGGAAUCUACCCAUCUCUACGGAAUAACGCAUGGAAACGUGUGCUAAUACCGUAUACGUCCUUCGGGAGAAAGAUUUAUCGGAGAUGGAGGGGCCCGAGUGGGAUGAGCUAGUUGGUGGGGUAAAGGCCUACCAAGGCGACGAUCCAUAGCUGGGCUGAGAGGCUGAUCAGGCACACUGGGACUGGGACACGGCCCAGACUCCUACGGGAGGCGGCAGUGGGGAAUAUUGGACAAUGGGCGCAAGCCUGAUCCAGCCAGGCCGCGUGAGUGAUGAAGGCCCUAGGGUUGUAAAGCUCUUCCACCGGUGAAGAUAAUGACGGUAACCGGAGAAGAAGCCCCGGCUAACUUCGUGCCAGCCGCCGCCGUAAUAC